rnacentral:lncRNA from 1 species
CCCUGAGGGACAAGUGUCCACUUUUGAAAAUGACCAGCCACUCCACAGCCCUUGUGACAUAUCCAGUCAGUGACUGUGUGUUCAGCAACGGAGCUGAUGGCAGGAAGACAUCUCUGGGAGAAGGAGAACAGGACCAGCCAAACUUGCCUUUAGAAAUAAAAUUCACCUCGAUCCAAAAAUCUCAUAGUGCAUUUUUAUUAUGUCCACCACAGUGAAUGGGGCAUCGCGGGGGACACAGAGAAGGAAGACAUGGCACCGGGCCUCAAGGAACUUGGAAUCUGAUGUGUUCUUUGCUCGAAAAGGGAAGAGAGGCAGGAAGAAAGAAGGCACAUCUGUUGUCAAGCCUUCACCCUACCUUACUUGCAAAAUUACAAUGUACAAACUUAACAUGAGUAAUUUUCAGAAAAAGCUUCCUUGGUGGCAAGUCAACUGCCAUGCUAUGAGCUGUGCUGUGGAGAGGCCCACAUGGCAAGGAAAUGAAGGAGGCCAGUAGCCAGUGUGCAGCUGAGUCUUGCAACCAUGUAUGGUUAAUCUGGAGCAGCCUCUGAUUUGGGGAAGAACAGGGGGUGCACACUGCGGAGAGUCAGUCCCGGUCAGUCUGGGCAUGGCUCUCAGUGGGCUAACCCAUGAAGCACUUCUGACCCUUUUCCCCCUCUAAGUAAAUAAAUCAGGCCGCCACGUUCUCCAGGACUGGCUCUUCUGGUACUGACAUCAGGCCACCCUUAAGUUAAAGAACACGUCAGACUCACCAGCUGCUGGAUUUAAUUUGCCGAUUUGGUAUGAACUGUGGCUUCUCUAGGAAAUCUGCUAUGCACAGACAAGCGAGAAAGAACCACGCG